UGUUGAGGAUUUACUUUAUCUGUUGUAUUUUGGCUGUAUGUUUGAUGUGAUGUCGUUACAGAGCGAUUUUUCUACAGCUACAAUGCUGACGAGGACACAUGAGAGAGCUUGCUGCCUAAACUAUGAUUGUAUGCCGGAGGACGAAUCCAGUGAUGUGAUAGAUCUAGGCUACAAUGCUUACGAGGACACAUGAGAGAGCUUGCAGCCUAAACUAUGAUUGUAUGCCGGAGGACGAAUCCAGUGAUGUGAUAGAUCUAUUGGGGGAAAAGGAUUUGGAUUUAAUUUCAAUGCUCAGUGGGCUAUUAAUUUCUCGACCUGUUAACUCUCCUUUGUCACACAAGCGUGCCCUUCAACAAUGCAUUGAGCACGCAAAGCUUUGGCUUACCAAGUCUGAUCAGCCCAUUUUACCUGAUUCCGAUGCUACUUGUGAGUACAUAGAAAUUCCCAAACUUGCUAGAGUCGGCUAUAUGAAUUCUCUAUA
rnacentral:lncRNA from 1 species